GAGCUAUUUGGAAUUCAGGGUUCUUGAAGCAAGAUGGUAGUUACAGGUUGCUCGGCCUCCGCUGUUGUGCCUCUCAUGAGUCUGCCGCUGGCUUAAGAGAUAUAUUUAGACCGGCCGAAGAGGUAUCGAAGGUUUUGAUACCAAGUCUGCCGGAUGAGUCGGGUGGCGGUGGAGGUUCUCCGAUUAGUAGUGGUUUCUGGGAGUGGAAGCCGAAGUUAUCGAUGCAUUAUGAGAAAUCAGGGAUGGAUAAUACUGAAGCUCCGGCGGUGCUGUUUCUUCCGGGAUUUGGUGUGGGGUCUUUCCACUAUGAGAAGCAAUUGAAGGAUCUGGGUCGCGAGUAUAGGGUGUGGGCUUUGGAUUUUCUUGGACAGGGGUUGUCGUUGUCGUCGGAGGAUCCGGCACCGUCUGAGGGUAAGAGUGUGAUGUGGGGCUUUGGGGAGGAAUCAGAGCCUUGGGCGCAGGAGCUGGUUUACUCUGUUGAUCUUUGGAAGGACCAGGUUGAUAAUUUCAUCGAACAGGUUAUCGGUGAGCCAGUUUACAUAGUGGGGAACUCGCUUGGAGGUUUCGUUGCUCUUUACUUUGCAGCAUACAAUCCACAGUUAGUGAGGGGAGUUACAUUGCUUAAUGCAACACCAUUUUGGGGAUUUCUUCCUAACCCUGUUAGAUCACCUCGAUUGUUCAAAAUUUUCCCUUGGGCUGGAACAUUUCCUCUACCGGCAUCUGUGAGAAAGAUCACUGAGAUCAUAUGGGAGAAGAUAAG
rnacentral:misc_RNA from 1 species